CUCUCGCUGUGCCUCACUCUCUGCUGCCUGGUUGUCUGUCUCUCCGUUUCCUUAUCAUUUUCUGUAUCGCUAGGUCGGUCGGUCUGUCCUAAAAUCCUCCUAUCUCCUUCGGCUAGGAGGGAGACAGUUUCUUUGUGUCCCCUUUUCUUUUCUCUAACCCACCCACUACCCACUUUGAAAUCUGCCUUUGUGAUUCUGUCCCCAUAACUGGUACCACCUCCCACCCUACCUCUUCCUGGCUCUCCUUUCAGACCUGGGUGCUCAGGCCCAUCUUCCCCGCUAUGUCUCAGCCCCAGUAACUAGAAUAACUGUCUCUCUUGGUAGAACUUAGGCAAAUGGGCACUGAGAAGGGUGACCAUGUCCCCACCCACCUGCUGCCAUCCCCUGACUUCACCAGUGGGUCAGCAACAAGGCAGGGUGCUGUAUGGCAGCUCUGGGGCUCAGCUCCCCACCUUUCACUGAGCAAAAUGCCAUUCAGAUUGAGCGUGCGAAGCCCCAUGGCAGUGGCCAUGUACAUCAGAGUCACGUGGGAUGCUGUUAAAAGUCCAGAUACCCACAUUCCAGCACCACUCCCAUUGAGGGCACGAGCUGGUGGGCUUGGCACAGGACUGAUGGCAAGUACCCUCCACAGCCCCAGCAAUUUUGAAACAGAACCACGGUUGGAGAAAUGCUGGUCUAGGUUUUCACCGAAGUUUCCCCGGGUUCCCCACCCCCUUGACCAGGGUGGUUCCACUUUCAUCUGUCUUUUGCAUCAAGAGUUGUGUGUUUAGAUUUCUGCUAAAGGAAGUUAGGAAUGUGCUAGCGUAAGCCCACCCCACACAAGGGCCUGUGAAACACAGACCUGCAGGUGGCCUGGGUUUGGGAUGUCCCCUGUUCACACUGGGGAGACUCAGAAUGCAGGAACCCUCCCUGGCAGUUCCCAUUUCUCCUCCUGGCCUCAUGGGCUUCAGAGAAUUCCUCUGAUCGUGUGGCUGCUCUGCUCUCAUCAUCUUGUACCCAGGGUAGAGGGCAGGUUGGGAGAGUGAGGGGUGGGGGUGGGAUCCUGGGACCCCCACCAGGUUGGGGUAUCGCUAACCCUGAGAGUGCCUGCUCUAGGGAAGUGGCUGCAGCCCAGCCUGUGGGAAACCAGGAAGCUGUGUGUGGGUGAGAGGAAAAGAGAGAGAGAGGCUAGGAUUGCUGUGUGGGUGGUAUGAAAGAGAAAGAGAUGUGGAAAAGAAAGGAGAGAAAGUGAUUCGGUCUGUACGUAGGUGUGUGACAGUGGGUGUGCAAGAGUGGCUAGGUCUGUAGGAGAGAAUGUGUGAAAGAUUUCAAAGUGUAGGUGUGUAGCAAAAGGAAAUGGAGAAAAGAACAUGCUUUUCACCUGUAUCUAUGAGAGGGAAUAUGUGUGUUUGUGUGAGAAAGUGUGCCUAUGUCUGCUUAUAUGUUUUCAGAUGCAACUGCAGCUCUGUAAGCAAAUCUGAGACGUGUUCACAUGUGGCAGCUGUGCAUGGGUGAGGGGGCCUUCAGGAAGGUAUGUGCCAGUGUGUACCCCAUGCAUGGAUGUGUGUCUGAGGGCCUCCAUGUGUGUGCAGUUGUGUGAGUGCAUAUGUGUGAUGGUUUGCAUGAGAACAUGGCAUCUAUACAUCAUGUGUAGAUACAUGUGUGUUUACGGAUGGAUGUGAAAGCAUGUAUGUGUGAGUGCAUGGUGAGGUGUAUGUGAACCUGUGAGCAGUGCUCCUCACCAUCACCCUCCUGUUACAAUCACUGUGGAGCAGGGGAGUGGAGGGGGAGUAGGCAGCUUCCUGCCCAGGCUCCUGCUCCAUCUGCCCUCUCUGUCACAGCCUGAGGAGCAGGAGCCUUGUUCUGGGCCCAGUGACCACUGUCAGCUGUUAACACGCACACAGGUCCCUCUGCCUGAACAAAACAGACAUGUCCAGUGGCAGGACUCAUCUGACAACACAGACCCACACCCCUCCCCACCCCAGAGGCUCAGAACAGUGUCCACUAGAGUUGGAAGUGGCUCUAAAUCUGCUACACACCUCCAGCCUCCAAUAACAAGUGGCCACCAGCAAAGGCAGGGAGGCAUCAGCGGUGAGUACCCAGGUUUCCCCCAGAGCAUCCGAGUGGGAGGGAAUUUGGCUUGGCAAAAUCUUCCAACAACUCCCAGAGCCUGAACAACCUUUUCCCAGCCCCAGGUGGGUGGAAGAACACAGCCUGCUGCCUCAUCACCAUGGAGACAGGCAGUAGAGAGGGUGGUUAAAAGCAUGGGCCCAGACCUCCUGGGGUUCAAAUCUCAGCUCCUCCACCCACAGGCUGUGAGACUUUGACAAUUCACUUAAAUUCCUUAUGCCUUAGUUUCCUCAUCUGUAAAACAGAGAUAAGAAAAGUAUGAACUUCACAGGAUUGUUUAUAGGAUUAAAUACUCCAUAUGGCGCAUUUAGCACAGUGCUGGGCAGCUGAACUGGGAGGCAUAAGCCCUGGGUUCCAGCCCUAGCUUUGCCACCAACUUACUGUGUGAGUUUGGACAAGUCACUUGCCAUCUCUGGCACUCAGAGUCUCCAUCUGCACAACAAUCUCAAGAAACGCUACCAGUUAUGACCAGCUGAGACUUUGGGGAGGGCAGCUUAGCAUGGGGCUGUCUUGGUGAGCUGGGGGCCCUAGUGUUGGCUGAGGCCUGAUCAUGAGCUCUACACUACCCUUUCCUCCCCAGAUCUAUUUUCCCAAAUUGGCAGCAGCUGAUGGCAUCUCUCUGUACCCUCUAUCCCUCUAGCCUGCCCACAGGGCCCUGUGUUGCCCUGCUCAGCUGGUACUCAGGCCUUGGAGAAAUGGCACUGGUACCCACUGACCCCAAACAAAGGUAUCUGCAGUGCCCAAAGCAGAAGAUAUAGUGGCUCAUACUUAAACCUGCCUGUGAGCCCUCUAGAGAGGCAGGUACAAUUGCGGAAGGAUGGAUGUAAUUGUUUGAAGAUGCUCAUAAUCCUUCGGCGGUAAUGGCAGGAAGCUUUAAAAUGAAGCCCUAAUCCGCUAAUAACCUGGCAGCCCCACAGCCUUCUUCCCUCCUGAUCUCCAGGAAGGGAGAAGGAACUCUAGCCACUCCCUUUCCCAAGGGAGCAGAAAGGCAAGUGUGGGCUCUGACCCAAGACCACCGGAUUUUGACUCUCCUGCAAGACCCAGCUUCCUUCCUGCCUCCAUCUCCAAGAAGUCUUCCCUGCCCAUUUCAUCCUUCUGAAGUCUUUUCUGCCCCCUCUGUCCCUAGAAAUAUUCUAGGACAGAACUGGAUGACAGACUGGCUGGACAGUAAAGAAAGGAAUGAGGCCUGGUGCGGUGGCUCACGCCUAUAAUCCCAGCACUUUGGGAGGCCGAGGCAGGCAGACCGCCUGAGGUUAGGAGUUCGAGGCCAGCCUGGCCAACAUGGUGAAAUCCCAUCUCUACUAAAAAUACAAAAAUUAGCUGGGCAUGGUGGCGGGCACCUGUAAUCCCAGCUACUUGGGAGGCUGAGGCAGGAGAAUUGCUUGAACCCGGUAGGCGGAGGUCGCAAUGAGCCGAGAUCAUGCCACUGCACUCCAGCCUGGGCGACAGAGCAAAAUA
rnacentral:lncRNA from 1 species